UGGGGAAUAUUGCGCAAUGGGGGAAACCCUGACGCAGCGACGCCGUGUGAGGGAAGAAGGCUUUCGGGUCGUAAACCUCUGUCGGGAAGGAAGAACCCCUCGGGUCCCAAUAGGGCUCGAGGCUGACGGUACUUCCAAAGGAAGCACCGGCUAACUCCGUGCCAGCAGCCGCGGUAAUACGGAGGGUGCAAGCGUUAAUCGGAAUCACUGGGCGUAAAGCGCGCGUAGGCGGCCUUUUAAGUCGGACGUGAAAGCCCUCGGCUCAACCGGGGAAUUGCGUUCGAUACUGGGAGGCUUGAGUCCUGGAGAGGGUGGCGGAAUUCCGGGUGUAGGAGUGAAAUCCGUAGAUAUCAGGAGGAACACCGGUGGCGAAGGCGGCUGCCUGGACCGAUAUUGACGCUG
rnacentral:rRNA from 1 species